rnacentral:miRNA from 1 species
UUUCUGAUUCAGCAGGUCUGGAUGGGGCCUGAGAUCCUGCCUUUUGAGCAAGCUCUCAGGGGACAUCCAUGUCACAUU